CGUAGGUGGCAAGCGUUGUCCGGAAUUAUUGGGCGUAAAGGGCUCGCAGGCGGUUUCUUAAGUCUGAUGUGAAAGCCCCCGGCUCAACCGGGAGGGUCAUUGGAAACUGGGAAACUUGAGUGCAGAAGAGGAGAGUGGAAUUCCACGUGUAGCGGUGAAAUGCGUAGAGAUGUGGAGGAACACCAGUGGCGAAGGCGACUCUCUGGUCUGUAACUGACGCUGAGGAGCGAAAGCGUGGGGAGCGAACAGGAUU
rnacentral:rRNA from 1 species